GAGGGUAUAGCUCAGUGGUAGAGUAUGGGCUUAGCGUGCAUGAGGUCCUGGGUUCAAUCCCCAGUGCCUCCA
rnacentral:tRNA from 1 species